rnacentral:rRNA from 1 species
AUGAGGAUGCAGAUCUGGGGGGCAGGUCGCAUGAGCAAGCGAAACCAUCGUAACCUUGCUGGUUCCUUGCGAUGUUGUGGCAGAGAUCAUCCUUUGCUUAAACGCGGCCACGAUGGGGAAUGGCGAGAUUGGCCGAACCUGCCGACGAUGCUCCUUGACGAUAUCGCCGGUCGGCUUCUGCUUUACGACGUGGCCGAGUACAUCCGCCUCCGUGCUGCGUGCAAGGAGUGGAGGAACUGCACCGAUGAUCCGCGCGCGGGAGGCGGCCUGGACUGCCGCUUCCGCCCCCGCCGCUGGAUCAUGCUGUCCAACCGCACCGAGGGCGACGGCCGUUGCUUUCUCAACCUCUCCACCGGUGCCAGCGCAUGUAUAGAUCUCCCGGAGCUCUCCCGCCACCACCUUGAGACCAGCACCGAGGGCCUCCUGCUCUUGCGCGGCAAGGCGAGCCAUGCUGUGCGCCUCUUCAACCCACUCACCAGGGCCUUCACCAACCUCCCGUCCAUCACCCCAGACCAUGGCAGGGCGUACAUUGUCUGGACGGGGCUGUUGGAGUCCUCAGAGCGCCUCAUCUACGCCGGCAUCUCUGAAGAGACCUCCCCAGCGUCGGUCGUGCUCCUGAUGAUUGACCGUGGGCGUGCCAUAGUCUACGCCAAGCCUGGCGACCAGCGGUGGGCUGUGGUUGAGCAUGACGAGAUUGGGAGACCCAAUAGCUACGCAUCAUAUCGGUUAUCGUCGGCAUCAACCCUGCAGGGGCGCUUCUACUUUGCAACUCUUGAGGGGAAUGUAAUGCAUGUGAGGCUCUGUCCUGAGCCUCGGUUGGUGCCCGUGGUCGUGAACCAGCCCAAAACCAGGGGCGACGUGUCCUCCUACCUUGUCCCUCCCGACGACCACCGCUGCGGCGACAUGCUCAUGGUGCGCUACUACCUCGACCUUGAUCACCUCAGCGCUGACGAGCGGAAAAUCAUGACACACAGGAGGAAGCGCAUGGAUGUGAUCAGGGUGGAGAACAGGUUGAAGGAGUGCCGGUGGAACCUGAUCCAGGUGUUCAAGGUGGAUGUGGCCUGA